UAAUCCACAGAGCAGGCAUGGCAAACCUGGCCUCCGCAGAGCCUGGGAGCAGAGGUCUUACCCAGGGCAGAGGAAACCCACCUGCUUGGGAGGAUGGUCUCACAGAGCAUUGGAGCUGGAAGGAGGAACUUUAGAGAUCCAACCAUCUCCUUUUGCAAAUCAGACACCAGAGGCCAGAGAGGGAAGGUCCCCCUGCCUGGAGCACUCCUCCCACCAUAUCUGCA